rnacentral:tRNA from 1 species
GCCGGGGUGUUGGAACAGGCAGACAAAGCGGAUUUAAAAUCCGCUGGUGCAGAGCACCGUGCGGGUUCAAGUCCCGCCCCCGGUACCA